rnacentral:piRNA from 1 species
UCAACCAGGGGUAAUUUUGCUCCCUAGGUA